GCGGAUGUAGCCAAGUGGAUCAAGGCAGUGGAUUUGUGAUCC
rnacentral:tRNA from 1 species